rnacentral:rRNA from 1 species
GUGCCAGCCGCCGCGGUAAUACGUAGGGUGCAAGCGUUGUUCGGAAUCAUUGGGCGUAAAGCGCGUGUAGGUGGUUUAUUAAGUCGAUUGUGAAAUCCCUGGGCUCAACCGAGGAAGUGCAGUCGAAACUAAUUGACUAGAAGAUGGUAGAGGAAGGUGGAAUUCCAAGUGUAGAGGUGAAAUUCGUAGAUAUUUGGAGGAAUACCGGCGGCGAAGGCGGCCUUCUGGGCCAUUCUUGACACUGAGACGCGAAAGCGUGGGUAGCAAACAGGAUUAGAUACCCCGGUAGUCC